UACAGAGGUCUCAAGCGUUGUUCGGAUUCAUUGGGCGUAAAGGGCGCGUAGGCGGUUGGGCAAGUCUGGUGUGAAAUCUCGGAGCUCAACUUCGAAAUUGCACUGGAUACUGCUCUGCUAGAGGGCUGGAGAGGAGAUCGGAAUUCACGGUGUAGCAGUGAAAUGCGUAGAUAUCGUGAGGAAGACCAGUGGCGAAGGCGGAUCUCUGGACAGCUCCUGACGCUGAGGCGCGAAGGCUAGGGGAGCAAACGGG
rnacentral:rRNA from 1 species